UCUGGCAGAGUUGUGGUUUGUGGUCGGGGAGAUGGAGCUCUACUUGUUCAGAUGGAUUUGCAUGGGAAAUAAUUUGUCAAACCGAGAAAAUCAAGGAAAGAAAGGACGUGGCCUGCUGACCCCCGAGAGACCCAUCCUUGGCAGGCAUGAUCAUCAGGCUGAGCAGGCUGACCCCGGGGUACUCCCGCCUGCUCCAGAGGCAGGUCUCCGGGGAGGUCCAGGUGCAGCAUCAGACCAGCUUCGUCAACCCCAUUGCCAUGACGAUGGCCGCCCUGGGCCUGGGGGUGUCUCUGUACAGUACCAAGCGGCUGGCCGAGAGAGUCCAACUGAAACAGACGGCGAACUGACGCCGCACCUAAAUGUAGACACGCACCUGAGUGUCGAAGUCACGAUGGAUUAGGCUGCUUUCACUAAACUAAUUGUAGGGCCCCUGUCACUUAGCUGCUAAGUGCCAUGUUGUCUUUGUAUGAAGUUUGUUGUUUUGUGAGUCUUGAAGAAGGUUUGAAAGGUUUGUGUGGAAGAUGAAUAUAGUUCUGUAGAGAACUGGUUGGAGAAGUAAAGGUUUGUCCCUUGUACUGUGAUGUGAACAAAGAUUAAGAAAGUGUGGAAAUUCGAAAAAUACAUGGUCACCAUCAUACUAUAUGAAGCAGAUUUCUUAGGGAAUAGUUCAGUAAUAAGGAUAUAGAGAAUAUUUUGUCACCACCUUUUGUCAAGAAGUGUCACAUUAAUAAAUCUGAUGGACCACACAGAAAGUUCUUGAAAGUGAAUAUCUUCUGUCCUGCUGACUAAAUAUUUCCCCGUAUAUCUUUGUGAUUCAUUAUGUUUCCAUCUAUUUCUGUUUGUGUCAGCUAACCUCAAAGAUGUCCCUUAAACUGAUUUUAAUCUCUGGACCUAAUCUAGUCUGCUAGUCUGACUCUGUUGUAUGUAACAUUUGUAAACUUCCUCAAUCCCUUCGAUAUUAAAUAUCAUCCGGUUAAUCAAAUUAGUUAUGACGCAAACACUUCUAUUACUUAUUUGUAAUUCAUUUCCAUGAAUGGCUUGAAAUUAAACAAAAC
ensembl:lncRNA